GACGAACGCUGGCGGCGUGCUUAACACAUGCAAGUCGAACGGAAAGGCCCUGCUUUUGUGGGGUGCUCGAGUGGCGAACGGGUGAGUAACACGUGAGUAACCUGCCCUUGACUUUGGGAUAACUUCAGGAAACUGGGGCUAAUACCGGAUAGGAGCUCCUGCUGCAUGGUGGGGGUUGGAAAGUUUCGGCGGUUGGGGAUGGACUCGCGGCUUAUCAGCUUGUUGGUGGGGUAGUGGCUUACCAAGGCUUUGACGGGUAGCCGGCCUGAGAGGGUGACCGGCCACAUUGGGACUGAGAUACGGCCCAGGCUCCUACGGGAGGCAGCAGUGGGGAAUAUUGCACAAUGGGCGGAAGCCUGAUGCAGCAACGCCGCGUGCGGGAUGACGGCCUUCGGGUGGUAAACCGCUUUCGCCUGUGACGAAGCGUGAGUGACGGUAAUGGGUAAAGAAGCACCGGCUAACUACGU
rnacentral:rRNA from 1 species